CAUCCCUACAAUUUAGUAUCAUGACAUUAGGUAGACUGAGGCUGAGUCUUUCUAGCAUCACUGAAGACAGGAUUAGUGUGUGAGUGUCAUUUUGGUGUCACUUUCUAAAAUGCAACCUCCUGCACCUCUUCUCAUACUGUAAACCAUCCAUCCCAAACUAUAGGUCUUGCAAAGACACCAGAGGCUCAACAUGCUGAGACACUUUGUGGUCCUUCUGGUGCUCGUGCAUUUUUCAAAAGCUGAUGACACAAUCAAAGAAAUACUUUCCCAUCUAACGGACCUUCUCAACCAGCAGCAUUUCCUCACCUUUGUGUUAGAGAGUCCCUGCUACCCUGGCACAAGAAUCCACUGGAAUGUGUUCAGCUGCAAAAAGGUCGUCGCUCAGGAACUGUUGAGAGCAUUAGAACAUGUUAAAAUAACAUCUUUUCAUACCACACAUAGACUUGAGGAAACUGUGAGAAAACUGCAAAUCAAUAUUGAAGGAUUGAUUGAAGGAGACCAACCAAUAAGUACUAUUACUGCUGAAGAGGACUGUGCCAAAGAAAAAAUCAUGUUUGUCAAGGCUAACAGCAUGGAAAACUUAGUAUUUAUAAACCGUUAUAUAAGAUUCUUCCAAGAUUGGCUUACAAAUCUAACAUGAGCUUCCAUUAUCCUCACCAACUCAACUAAAAUGAAUCAUGUAUUGAUCAGUGGGCAGAUUUCAUCUUUUAAACUGAAAUGUAUAGGUGAACCAGACAAAGAGCUAACUGAAUCAUAAAUGAUGUUAACCGUAUUUUGUGUUGUAUAUUGGUUUUGUUUUAGAGUUGAUAUUUAGUAUUUUUAAGUAUUUAUUUAGAGGAAUACGGUUACAUGUUAAUGAACAGAAAGUUUAAUAUAUGCAAUGUUUUCUUUGUCACACUGUCACUUUUUCUUUCUGAGAAAAAAAGUCCCUCAAGAAAUAAUUAUUUUUAACAAGAUCUUCUGUGCUACAAAUGAUUGGACCCCUAGACAUUCUUCUAAACAAAAUGUAACAGAAGCCUUUCUUUCCAUUUAUAUUGUAUUUUUUAAAAGUUAAUCAGAGUGUUUAAAAACCUUCAAGCAGUAAUCCAUGACUCCCUGUUUCACAGCCUAUCACUCACUGUGAUGUUUGUGCAAGAUUAAUGGGCCGACGCAAUACACUGGAGAUACUGAAAUAUUACAUGAUUACAGUGCAUCCAGAAAGUAUUCACAGCGCUUCACUUUUUGUUAUGUUCCAGCCUUGUGCUAAAAUCGUUUAUUCAUUUUUUCCUUCAUCAAUCUAACCUCAAUACUUCAUUAUGACAAAGCGAAAAGAGGAUUUUAUUUUUUUUUGCAAAUAUAUUCAAAUUAAAGAACGACAAUAUAACACGUACAUAAGUAUUCACAGCCUUUGCUCAAUACUUUGUUGAAGCACCUUUGGCAGCAAUUACAGCCUCAAGUCUUUUUGAGUAUGAUGCUACAAGCUUUGCACACCUAUUUUUGGGCAGUUUCUCCCAUUCUUCUUUGCAGGACCUCUCAAGCUCCAUCAGGUUGGAUGGGGAGCGUCUGUGCACAGCCAUUUUCAGAUAUUUCCAGAGAUGUUCAAUCGGGUUCAAGUCUGGGCUCUGGCAGGGCCACUCAAGGACAUUCACAGAGUUGACCUG
ensembl:lncRNA